CCAGCUCCAAUAGCGUAUAUUAAAGUUGUUGCAGUUAAAAAGCUCGUAGUUGGAUUUGUGGCAGGCGUCGGCGGCCCGACACUGUGUGUGGGUGCCUGUUGGCGCCGCCAUCCUUGGGUGGAACCUGUGUGGCAUUAGGUUGUCGUGCAGGGGAUGCCCAUCGUUUACUGUGAAAAAAUUAGAGUGUUCAAAGCAGGCUUAUGCCGUUGAAUAUAUUAGCAUGGAAUAAUGAGAUAGGACCUUGGUACUAUUUUGUUGGUUUGCGCACCAAGGUAAUGAUUAAUAGGGACAGUUGGGGGUAUUCGUAUUCCAUUGUCAGAGGUGAAAUUCUUGGAUUUUUGGAAGACGAACUACUGCGAAAGCAUUUACCAAGGAUGUUUUCA
rnacentral:rRNA from 1 species